rnacentral:rRNA from 1 species
GUGAGACAGGUGCUGCAUGGCUGUCGUCAGCUCGUGUUGUGAAAUGUUGGGUUAAGUCCCGCAACGAGCGCAACCCUUAUCCUUUGUUGCCAGCGRUUAGGUCGGGAACUCAAAGGAGACUGCCAGUGAUAAACUGGAGGAAGGUGGGGAUGACGUCAAGUCAUCAUGGCCCUUACGACCAGGGCUACACACGUGCUACAAUGGCGCAUACAAAGAGAAGCRACCUCGCGAGAGCAAGCGGACCUCAUAAAGUGCGUCGUAGUCCGGAUUGGAGUCUGCAACUCGACUCCAUGAAGUCGGAAUCGCUAGUAAUCGUGGAUCAGAAUGCCACGGUGAAUACGUUCCCGGGCCUUGUACACACCGCCCGUCACACCAUGGGAGUGGGUUGCAAAAGAAGUAGGUAGCUUAACCUUCGGGAGGGCGCUUACCACUUUGUGAUUCAUGACUGGGGUGAAGUCGUAACAAGGUAACCGUAGGGGAACCUGCGGUUGGAUCACCUCCUUA